rnacentral:rRNA from 1 species
AUGGCGGUGGUGGUGGCGGGGGGUGGCGCUGGCGGUGGGGGUGGCAGGGCGCGAGGGGAGCAGCAGCCGAGGACGCAUUGGCGCGAGCAGCAGGGGCAGCGGAGCCCCGACAUGGCGGCGGUGCCCAGGCCGCCGCGCCCAAGGCCGGGACCGGCCAGGGUCGCCGUCGUGUACUACCUGUCCAGGAACGGGCAGCUCGAGCACCCGCACUUCAUGGAGGUCGCCCUCUCGUCCCCCGACGGCCUCUACCUCCGAGAUGUGAUCGAUCGGCUCGACGCACUGCGAGGCAAGGGGAUGGCGCGCAUGUACUCAUGGGCCUCCAAGAGGAGCUACCGGAACGGGUUCGUGUGGCACGACCUGGCGGAUGACGACUACGUGCACCCGGUGGGCGGGCGGGAGUACGUGCUCAAGGGCACCGAGCGGCUGCACCCGCCGGCGAUCCACCUCCCGCUGCUCGACGCGGCCGCGGCGUCGUCCUGCUCCUCCGGCUCCCAGGACACGACCACGUCCUCCUCGUCAGGCUGGGAGCACGCCCAGAGGAAGGGCGUCGCCGGCGCGUGCGGCACAGGUGAGCUCGGCGAGUACAGGGUGUACAAGGCCGAGGACCGCGCCGCGGCGGCAGCGGACGCGGCGACGCAGACCGAGGACGGGCACCGUGGGCGGAGCCGCGGUCACCAGAGGCGCGCCCAGGAGGAGCUGAGCCGCGAGGAGACGUCGCCGCCGACGGCGUCCACGAGCCCCGAGACGCUCGAGGCGCUGAUCAAGGCGGACGGCCGCGUCCUGGCGACCGUCCCCGGCGGCGGGAGCAGGGCCCGGGCGUCGUCCGUGCUGAUGCAGCUCAUCUCGUGCGGGUCCGUGUCGGUGAAGGGCGGGCUGGCCACACCGGUGAUGCCGCGCGGGGUGCACUACCGCCCACGCCCGCCGCGCCCGCCGGCGCACGCGGCCGUCGCGGCAGCCGAGACGGCCGUCUACCGGCAGAAGGUGGUCGAGGACAAGGAGUACUUCAGCGGGAGCCUGGUGGAGACGCAGUGCUCGGCCGCCGACCCGUGCCAGGACCUGGCCGUCCUCCGGCGGUCGUCUUCCUACAACGCCGACAGGGCGCAGAAGGCGGAGGAGGCGGUGGACCUGCACGACCGGUGCAUCCCGCGGAAACCCAAGAGCAAGAAGGACGGCUACCAGGUGAUCUCCUGCACCGCGCACGCCAGCGGCAAGAGGAUCGGGGCAUGA